AGGGCGUACGGUGGAUGCCUUGGCGAUAUCAGCCGAAGAAGGACGCGGUAAGCUGCGAUAAGCUACGGAGAGGUGCAAGCAACCUGUGACCCGUAGAUUUCCGAAUGGGGGAACCCGGCAGUGGUUAUGCACUGUCACCCAUAGCUUAGACUAUGAGGAGGGCACCCGGGGAACUGAAACAUCUAAUUACCCGGAGGAACAGUAAUCAAACGAGAUUUUCUUAGUAGCGGCGAGCGAACGGGAAAGAGGCCAAACCGGAGCGGGCAACCGCACCGGGGUUGAGGACAGUCAUCAAGUGUAAAUGAGGUAGAAGAAUCGAGCUGGAAAGCUCAGCCGCAGAAGGUGAAAGCCCUGUAAUCGAAACCUUGCAUACAUGGGACUGUAUCCAGAGUACCACGAGACACGUGAAACCUUGUGGGAAGCAGGGGGGACCACCCUCCAAGCCAAAAUACUGAUAUCGACCGAUAGCGCAUAGUACCGUGAGGGAAAGGUGAAAAGAACCCCUGGCGGGGAGUGAAAGAGAACCUGAAACCGUAUGUCUACAAACAGUCGAAGUCUGUAUAUAUAUCAGGACGACGGCGUGCCUAUUGAAGAAUGAACCGACGAGUUACUGUUGCUAGCGAGGUUAAGUGGAAAACAUGGAGCCGCAGCGAAAGCGAGUCUGAACAGGGCGUUCAGUUAGUAAUAGUAGACCCGAAACCGUAGUGAUCUAUCCAUGGCCAGGUUGAAGCACAGGUAAAAUUGUGUGGAGGACCGAACUCGUGAGCGUUGAAAAGCUUUGGGAUGAGUUGUGGAUAGGGGUGAAAUGCCAAUCGAACACGGAGAUAGCUGGUUCUCCCCGAAAUAGCUUUAGGGCUAGCCUCGAGGUAGAGAGUAUAGGCGGUAGAGCACUGAUCGGGCUAGGGGCCAUACCGGUUACCGAACCUAGUCAAACUACGAAUGGCUAUACUUAUACUCGGGAGUCAGACAGUGAAUGAUAAGGUCCAUUGUCAAGAGGGAAACAGCCCAGAACACCGACUAAGGUCCCCAAUGUUACACUAAGUGGCGAAGGAUGUGGAAUUUCCAAAACAACCAGGAUGUUGGCUUAGAAGCAGCCACCAUUUAAAGAGUGCGUAAUAGCUCACUGGUCGAGAGACUCUGCGCCGAAAAUGUCCGGGGCUAAAGUGUAAAACCGAAGUCGUGUCAUAUGCAGCAAUGUAUAUGGGUAGGGGAGCGUUCUCAUCGGGCUGAAGCAGUACCGUAAGGAGUUGUGGACUGAUGAGAAGUGAGAAUGUCGGUAUGAGUAGCGAAAAGAAUGGUGAGAAUCCAUUCCACCGAAAGCCUAAGGGUUCCUGAGCAACGAUCGUCGUCUCAGGGUAAGUCGGGACCUAAGCCGAGGCGGAAAAGCGUAGGCGAUGGACAACAGGUUGAAAUUCCUGUACCGGUGUGAAUCGUUUGAUCGAUGGAGUGACACAGUAAGGUAGGUCAGCACGCGAUUGGAAGAGCGUGUUUAAGCAGGUAGGUUGAGCUAUAGGCAAAUCCGUAGCUCUAAAAGCUGAGAUGUGAUGACGAGUGACUAGCAAUAGUCGCGAAGUGAUUGAUCCUACACUGUCGAGAAAAGCUUCUAGGUAGAGACACAUCGCCCGUACCAAAACCGACACAGGUAGGCGGGGAGAGAAUCCUAAGGUGCGCGGGAAAACCCUCGUUAAGGAACUCGGCAAAAUGCCUCCGUAACUUCGGGAAAAGGAGGACUCAUGUAGUGUGAAGAGCAGAAGCGCUUGGAGCAUGAAUGAGUGGCACAAGAGAGGCGCAAGCGACUGUUUACCACAAACACAGGUGCCUGCUAAAGCGAAAGCUGAUGUAUAGGUGCUGACACCUGCCCGGUGCUGGAAGGUUAAGAGGAGGGGUUAGACUUCGGUCGAAGCUCUGAAUUGAAGCCCCAGUAAACGGCGGCCGUAACUAUAACGGUCCUAAGGUAGCGAAAUUCCUUGUCGGGUAAGUUCCGACCCGCACGAAAGGUGUAACGACUUGCGCACUGUCUCAACGAGGGACCCGGUGAAAUUGAAGUACCUGUGAAGAUGCAGGUUACCCGCGACUGGACAGAAAGACCCCAUGGAGCUUUACUGCAACCUAAGAUUGAACUUAGUUAAUGAAUGUACAGGAUAGGUGGGAGACGUAGAACCUAGGACGCCAGUUUUAGGGGAGUCGCUGUUGGGAUACCACCCUUUCAUUAAUUGAUUUCUAACGGGCCGAGUAACGACCGGCCGGACAGUCUUAGGCGGGCAGUUUGACUGGGGCGGUCGCCUC
rnacentral:rRNA from 1 species